CCCCCGGGGAGCCAGUGGGAGCGCUCUCCUGCCCCUCCUACCUGCUGCACACUCGCCGGAUGCAACCCCCUGGCCUGAGGCGGCUGGGCUCCUACUUCCGCGGCUCUGGAAUCCCAGAUUCUCAGCACCCUGGAGCGAAGCAGCGUCUUCUAUAACAGCAGACCCAACCCGAGGCCAAGGCCAAGAGGUUAAAGGGUUUGCUGGAGGCCUCGCAGCAGCACGAGUCACCCGGCCUCUGCAGUCUCUCCCCGCGAAAACACGGCCCGCGAGGGGGUCAGCCGGGCUGGCUGGGGGAAGGAGCGAGGAGAGAACCCCACGGGCCGGGCCUUCCCGGGGCGCCCCCUCGCCGCCCCAGAUCUUUGCCCAGCGCCCGCCUCCCGUUCCCACCCGCGACUUCCCCGGGACCGCCCGAAAGAUGCUGAUAGGAGACUCUGCAGUUUUAGAGACAGAAGGAGCUAGAGCAGAACAGCCCAGUCUUCCUGUUUGAACUCCUCCUGCUCUGGGUGGACAUGAGGAUCACAUCUCACUGCCCUGCCAGGAGAGGAGAAGACCUACAGACCUUGGCUUUGACCUUGAGGAAAUGGAAAAACUUGGACCUUAAAGAGAGAUUUCCAUGGCUAAGACAUGGGCAGGCUGUGUGACCUUGGGCACGUUACCUAACCUCUCUGAACCUCACGUGCUAGUGAGGAUUCAGUGAGCUGACAACUGUACAGGGCCUAAAAGGCCUCCUGGCAUGGACUAAACUCUCAGUA